rnacentral:rRNA from 1 species
AUUGAACGAUGGGGGCGUGAUUAACACAGGCAAGUCGAACGAGUGGCGAACGGGUGAGUAACACGUGGGUGACCAGCCCGGUACUUCGGGAUAAGACCGGGAAACUGGGUCUAAUACCGGAUAGCGGGGGAUGGGCCCGCGGCCUAUCAGCUUGGUGGUGGGGUAAUGGAUACCAAGGCGCGACGGGUAGCCGGCCUGAGCGGGGGGCCGGCCACAUUGGGAAGCAGACACGGCCCAGACUCCUACGGGAGGCAGCAGUGGGGAAUAUUGCACAAUGGGCGGAAGCCUGAUGCAGCGACGCCGCGUGGUGGAUGACGGCCUUCGGGUUGUAAAGUACUUUCAGCGGGUAGGCGUUACCCACAGAAGAAGCACCGGCUAACUCCGUUCCAGCCGCCGCGGUAAUUC